rnacentral:rRNA from 1 species
UACGAAGGGGGCUAGCGUUGUUCGGAUUUACUGGGCGUAAAGCGCACGUAGGCGGUUUGUUAAGUCAGGGGUGAAAUCCCGGAGCUCAACUCCGGAACUGCCUUUGAUACUGGCAAGCUAGAGUCCGGAAGAGGUAAGUGGAACUCCUAGUGUAGAGGUGGAAUUCGUAGAUAUUAGGAAGAACACCAGUGGCGAAGGCGGCUUACUGGUCCGGAACUGACGCUGAGGUGCGAAAGCGUGGGGAGCAAAGCAGG